rnacentral:rRNA from 1 species
UUCCGUUGAUCCUGCGGAAGGUUGCUGCUAUCGGGAUUCGAUUAAGCCAUGCAAGUCUGACGGAAGUCGGCGAAAUGCUCAGUAACACGUCAAUAAUCUAACCUUAGAUCUGGAAUACCCUUGGUAACCUGAGGAUAAAACCGGAUAGAAUAAUUCUACUGGAAUGUGUUUUAUUUUAAAAGCAAUGUCUAAGGAUGAGUUGGCGGCGGAUUAGGUUGUUGGUGGGGUAAAGGCCCACCAAGCCGAAGAUCCGUACGGGCCUUGAGAGAGGUAGCCCGGAGAGGGACACUGAGAUACUGGUCCCAGCCCUACGGGGUGCAGCAGGCGCGAAACCUUUACAAUGCACGCAAGUGUGAUAAGGGAAUCCCGAGUGCUCAUGUUUUACAUGGGCUUUUGCCAAGAGUAAAAAUCUUGGCGAAUAAAUGGUGGGCAAGACUGGUGCCAGCAGCCGCGGUAACACCAGCGCCAUGAGUGGCAAUCAUAAUUAUUGGGCCUAAAGCGUCCGUAGUCGGUUUGAUCAGUCUUUUGUGAAAUCGUUGGGCUUAACUUAACGUUGUGCAAGAGAUACUGUCAAACUUGGAAUCGGGAGGAGUCGGAGGUAUUCUGGGGGGAGCGGUAAAAUGCUAUAAUCCCCGGAGGACCACCUGUGGCGAAAGCGUCCGACUAGAACGACUUCGACGAUGAGGGACGAAAGCCAGGGGAGCAAACCGGAUUAGAUACCCGGGUAGUCCUGGCCGUAAACGCUGCGAGCAAGGUGUCGCGUAUCCUCUGAGGAUAUGCGGUGUCGAAAUGAAGAUGUUAAGCUCGCCGCCUGGGAAGUAUGGUCGCAAGGCUGAAACUUAAAGGAAUUGGCGGGGGAGCACCACAAGGGGUGCGGCGUGCGGUUUAAUCUAAUUCAACGCAGAGAAUCUCACCAGAAGCGACGGCAGGAUGGAGGUCAGUCUGAAGGGCUUACCUGACGAGCCGAGAGGUAGUGCAUGGCCGUCGUCAGCUCGUGCCGUAAGGUGUCCUGUUAAGUCAGGCAACGAGCGAGACCUGUACCUAUAAUUGCUAACAACUCCUUUAGGAGAUUUGUGCACAUUAUAGGAACUGCCCUCGAAAGGGGGAGGAAGGUGCAGGCUACGGUAGGUCUGUAUGCUCCGAAUCUUCUGGGCUACACGCGCGCAACAAUGGUAGGACAAUGUGAUGCGACUCUGAAAAGAGAAGCUAAUCCUCGAAACCUUGCCUUAGUUCAGAUUGAGGACUGUAACUCGUCCUCAUGACGCUGGAAUCCCUAGUAAUCGGACGUCAUCAUCGUCCGGUGAAUAUGUCCCUGCUCCUUGCACACACCGCCCGUCAAACCACUCGAGCAGGGUUUAGGUGAGACUUGGUUUUUAAUCAAGCCGAAUCUAAACUCAGUGAGAUGGGUUAAGUCGUCACAAGGUG